ACUCAUUGCCUACGUACCCUUUUAAGGGAUCAAAACCAAUCGUAGUUCGUUCUCGAAAAUUGUUUUUGUUUUUGUUGGUUGAUUUUAAGUUUAAAAAAGGAAUUUUGAAGAAUGGAGAUGAGAGGCCUCAAGGGCAUGAGAUUUGGAAAAUGUGAGGUGGAAGUAGUUAUUUUGUAAAAUAAAGUCUAAGUAUGAUUAAAAUUC
rnacentral:lncRNA from 1 species